rnacentral:misc_RNA from 1 species
GUUUAUGGAACUGCUGUUCCUGUUCAUGGGCGUGAUGCAGACAAGUUGCAACACCAGGGUUACGGUACACUAUUAAUGGAAGAGGCAGAGCGGAUUGCUCGCAGGGAGCAUAGAUCAACUAAAAUAGCAGUGAUUUCGGGGGUGGGAACCCGUCACUAUUAUAGGAAACUUGGCUAUGAGCUUGAAGGCCCCUAUAUGGUUAAAUGUCUUGCUCUACAUUGACACGGCUAGCCAAUAUGUGAUGCAACG